rnacentral:rRNA from 1 species
GAUGAACGCUGGCGGCGUGCUUAAUACAUGCAAGUCGAACGGACAGACCCUGCGCUUGCUCGGUGCUCGUUUGGCGAACGGGGGAGUAACACGCGAGUAACCCGUCCUUGUCUUUGGGAUAAAUCUUGGAAACAGGGGCUAAUACCGGAUAUAAGCUCCUGAUGCAUGGUGGGGGUUGGAAAGUUUCGGCGGUUGGGGAUGGACUAGCGGGUUAUCCGCUUGUUGGUGGGGUAGUUGAGUACCAAGGCUUUGAAGGGUAGCCGGCCUGGGAGGGUGAACGGCCACAUUGGGACUGAGGUAGGCACCAGACUCCAACGGGCGGCAGCAGGCGAGAGCAUUGCGCAGUGGGGCGGAGCGUGAUGUAGCAACGCCGCGUGCGUGAUAACCGCUUUCGGGUUGUAAACAACUGUCGCAGGUGCCGUGGCCGGAGUGACGGUAACGGGUAAAGAAGCACCGGCUAACUACGCG